rnacentral:rRNA from 1 species
AACGAACGCUGGCGGCAUGCCUAACACAUGCAAGUCGAACGAGACCUUCGGGUCUAGUGGCGCACGGGUGCGUAACGCGUGGGAACCUGCACUUAGGUUCGGAAUAACUCCCCGAAAGGGGUGCUAAUACCGGAUAAUGUCUUCGGACCAAAGAUUUAUCGCCUUUGGAUGGGCACGCGUUGGAUUAGCUAGUUGGUAGGGUAAAAGCCUACCAAGGCGACGAUCCAUAGGUGGGCUGAGAGGCUGAUCAGCCACACUGGGACUGAGACACGGCCCAGACUCCUACGGGAUGCAGCAGUGGGGAAUAUUGGACAAUGGGCGAAAGCCUGAUCCAGCACUGCCGCGUGAGUGAUGAAGGCCGUAGGGUUGUAAAGCGUAUGUAACCGGGAUGAUAAUGACAGUACCGGGAGAAUAAGCCCCGGCUAACUCCGUG